GUGGCAUUAGAUGACAAAAAUCGAGGUUGGCCUUUCCCUCCUGGCAUUUUUUUCAGAGCCCCCAAUACCACACCAAGCUGAGUCCCCGCUUAUGCUUCAGCUCUGAAAAUACUUUAAGGAGUCCCAACACACACAAUCCUGUGGAAGAACCAGUCCUCUGAUAAUUGAGAUCUUAAUACUGAAAGACUGAGCAGGUUUCCCUCAGCUGCCACAGCUUGGCCGUGGAGAGCUUAUGAAAAGAAAAUACAUACAUUGAGACUUACUUGAAAUAGCCAGCAGGUCGAAACCUGGAGAUUUCUGGAAGCAGCCAUGCUGGGAAGGAGCACUUGUUAACCAGCUGGUUAUAAAACCCCUCUUAUGGUCAUGUCUUGCUGUAAAUACAUAAUCAUAGAAUCACAGAAUGGUUAGAGUUGGAAGGGACCUUAAAGAUCAUCAAGUUCCAAUCCCCCCGCCAGGGGAUUGAACCCCUCCAGGGAUGGGGCAGCCACAGCUUCUCUGGGAAACCCGUUCCAGGGUCUCACCAUCCUCACAGUAAAGAAUUUCUUCCUAAUAUCUAAUCUAAAUCUCCCCUCUUUCAGUUUAAAACCAUUACUCCUCGUCCUAUCACUGCACUCCCUAAUAAAAAGUCCCUCCCCCAAUGUUGCAAGUCGCAAAUACUGGCAGGGCUGGUAGGAUUGCACCCAUCCAUCUCCAGAAUCACCUCCAUAUGCACACUCACCCCAUCAUCUUCCAGCUGGACACAUGCAGACACACCAUGUGCAAGGAUGGCCAGGACAAGCACAAGUGAGAGCCCAAGAUACGUCGGCAGCAAAGAUGUUCCUGCAAAAAUUGUUUGUUGGACACUCAGGUACCUGAGUAUCUGGAUUGCAAAACGCACGCAGGGCAGGACAAAACCCUCACGUCUUCAGGAGAAACCCUGCACCAAGCACAGCUGCAGUUGCAGGGCUGUGCAAGCGGUGACCCGACCCAUCCUGUGCAUGGGCAACUGAGGGGGCUUUUGGCAGUGCCUCACCUGUGGCAGGUUUUUUAGGGAUUCCUAAGGAGUUAAAGAGAAAAAAAUCAGUUAUUUUGAUAGUAGAUCAAGUAUCAAAGGAAUAAAAAUAACCAGGUACUUUUGCA
rnacentral:lncRNA from 1 species